rnacentral:lncRNA from 13 species
AAAUUUUCUGUUUUAUUAAAGACUUCUUUAAAUUUAACUUUUCAAAAAACAUAAAAAAAUCGCAAAUAUUCCCGGAUUUGUGAAUGGUAAUAUAUAUUUCAGGAAUACACUAAAAAAAAAAAGUAAUUUAAUUAAAACGUUAACGGCCUUUAAAAAAAAUGGCCUGCCAUCUACUUAAUUCGCUUAUGUGUUACGUUAUCUCUGUACGCGUUAUGUAUUUCUAGCAAAUUCACAUUUAUAGAAUAUACAGUUACAUAAAACUCUCCGUAAUACGCAUUACGUCUCAAUGCAUUAUGUCUCUAUGAAUUUUUCUCGAGAUCUUAAACUUUCCCUAUGCUGGAAGGUUCCGUAUUUUUAUGGUAUUGAAUAUUGUUAAAACAUAAUUAUAACGAAUUUAAUUGUAUUUAAUAUAAUUUAAGUAAAAGAAAUUGUAAAGUUAUGUGUAUUUCAGUAACACAUAUUUAUGAUAUAAUACAUUUCAGUAAUAUUUUGUAAAUUAGAACAAGAAAUUCUAUUGCCAAAAUAUCGUCUUCAGACGAAUUAUAAAUUACAAUUAAUUAGUUGUAGAGCUUAUUUUGUUCUCAAUGAAUUUCUAAUUACACGUAACUAGAUUAUAUGCAUACACGUGGAAUCACUCCUAACCUGAACCUAAUAGAAACCUUAAAUCAUUGCAAAGCAACUUUUAGCAAGCGGUACAAAAUUUAAACAAAAGAUUUUUAAAGAUUUUCCACAUAUAUAAUUAAUAUGAAAAGAGAUCCGACGUCCUUAAACCUGCUCCUGUUAUAUCGAACAGUAUCAAAAUCUCCUUUUUGUUGUGGAGGACCAAAGAUUGUAAGAGAGUCAUCGAUACAAAAUGUCUAAUACGCCGUUGUGCUUUCUUUCAGUUUGGUAAUCAAACAUAUACAAGCAAUUAACACGCAAGCAGUUUACUUUCUACGUGUUAUUACUGAGAUGAGAAGACUGCUCAAUUGCGGUCAGGCAAAAACAUAAAAUUACAUUCGGUCCCGGAAUCCCCGGAAUUGCAGUAAAUGCACUCGAAAAACUCGACGGCGUGUAUGCAGAUAGAAGUCGCCGUCGCGAUCGAGAAAGUGAAAGCCAAUAAGAGGAGGCAAGUGAAAAGAGAUAUGGACUUGCGUCGUGCUAAUGUAACUGCGUAAUUAAGCGGAUUUUGUUAUCCGUCCAGCCUCGCGACACCGAUGAGAGGAAUUUCUCAAUGUGUUUCGCGUCCGGCUGUCCUCAAACCCAUUUAUCUACAAUGUUAUACGUCCAUGUGCAGAUCAACUUUGAUCUCGAUUUGCGUCUUCUUCCAGCUUGUAUCUUUUACGUAUAUUAAAAAGAACAAGCUCUUAAAUCGAUAUCAUGUUUAUCUAUUUAUGUUGAUAACGAACGUCAAGAGAGUGCGAAUCUAUUCUACGCAGAGUUUACGUUCUGCUCGGUCCCUCUCUUUCCUCUCCUUCCGACAAACGGAGGAAAGGAGGAUAGCUAUACUGUCUGCAAGCACGAAAUCUUGAAAAAGUCUUACGGUCGCACUUUUAUAUCUCCUCUAAACUGAACGAAUCAAAUUAUUUGAUCAAUUUAUCAGCAGGAAAUAAAUGACAUAUUUCUCUCUCUCUCUCUCUCUCUCUCUCUCUCUCUCUCCACUUCGAAGCGUGCUUCGCAACAGCCGUCCCAUCAGACGGAUCACAGUGCACGUUUAGUUAGAUAUAUCACGUAGUAGCGAAUUACGAAUGUUAACUGCAAGGUCAGUUUUUUAAACACGUCCGGCGGUAUAUUCGCGCGUACGUACGUCAUGCAUCUAAUCUGCAGCAAUCGUAGAGGCACGAUUGUACUAUUUACAAUCGAAAAGGAAAUUAAACCACGAGUUGACAGAAGGCGAGAGUGCUGAUUAAAGCAAAGCAAAGUUUAGCAAGGCAAAUCUCUGUUUCCCGAGGCCUAAAUAUUUCGGCAGACAGUCAAUAGUCAUGGCAAGCGAACCUGAACGGAUGACUAAACCCGAUAGAGAAAUAGCGGAUACUACACAGGGCUUAAUGAAUGACGAAACGCAGAACGAAGAAAACAUCGAGAUCGAGACGACGUCGGUAAAUUUGAAGCAGCAGAACAGAAAAUCGACUUCGGAACAGGAAAAUAAAAAACUACUAAAGGCCUGCGACGAGGAUCCUUAUAUCGUGAAGCUAUUUAAAAGUCUAAUGAAGCCUCCAGAAAAUCAGGAAAGUAGGGAGGAGAAAAAAAAGUAACGUGCAAAGCAUGUUAAAACUUCUAUAAAAUUUUCAAUAAAAACUAGACAAGCAAAAAAGCAGAUGAAGAUUAUUAUAAUUAAAAUAAUUAUACAUUUUAGAUUAUAAUAUAAAUUAUAAUUUUAAA